rnacentral:rRNA from 1 species
UUUAUGAGUUUGACUCUGGCUCUGAAUGAACGCGAGCAACGCGUCUUGACACAUGCUAGUUUAAUGAUUAGUAAUUUUAAUUAUUUAGCGAACGGGUGAGUAGUGAAAUGUAUUAUUUAAAUUUAAUGUUUAAAUUUAAGAAAUAAUUUUUAAGAUUA